rnacentral:rRNA from 1 species
GACGAACGCUGGCGGCGUGCCUAAUACAUGCAAGUAGAACGCUGAAGGAGGAGCUUGCUUCUCUGGAUGAGUUGCGAACGGGUGAGUAACGCGUAGGUAACCUGCCUGGUAGCGGGGGAUAACUAUUGGAAACGAUAGCUAAUACCGCAUAAUAGUAGAUGUUGCAUGACAUUUGCUUAAAAGGUGCAAUUGCAUCACUACCAGGUGGACCUGCGUUGUAUUAGCUAGUUGGUGGGGUAACGGCUCACCAAGGCGACGAUACAUAGCCGACCUGAGAGGGUGAUCGGCCACACUGGGACUGAGACACGGCCCAGACUCCUACGGGAGGCAGCAGUAGGGAAUCUUCGGCAAUGGACGGAAGUCUGACCGAGCAACGCCGCGUGAGUGAAGAAGGUUUUCGGAUCGUAAAGCUCUGUUGUAAGAGAAGAACGAGUGUGAGAGUGGAAAGUUCACACUGUGACGGUAUCUUACCAGAAAGGGACGGCUAACUACGUG